rnacentral:lncRNA from 1 species
AUUUCUUAUUUGAAAUACCCGGCCAAUACUUAAAAUAGUCAAAUCAAAAAUCCAUACAAAAUAAUAAGGUCGGCUCAAUUAUAAAUGAGUAAAGUCUUGUUUACUUAUACAUAUGGAAUUGGUGGCGAAAUCUUAGUCCUUAAUGAAGAAUCAUAAACGUCUUUCGUUCUUGAUCAAUGUUAUGUUAUCAUGUGGCAAUAUAGUCAUAUACACCAGAUGUAAUUCUUUAUUUUACAUUAGAAGUGAUCUAAUAACAUAUAAC